rnacentral:rRNA from 1 species
UACGUAGGGUCCGAGCGUUGUCCGGAGUUACUGGGCGUAAAGCGCGCGCAGGCGGCUCGUCAAGUCUGGCGUGAAAGCCCCCGGCUCAACCGGGGAGGGUCGUCGGAGACUGGCGAGCUUGAGGGCGGUAGGGGCUGGUGGAAUUCCAGGUGUAGCGGUGAAAUGCGUAGAUAUCUGGAGGAACACCGGUGGCGAAGGCGGCAUCCUGGACCGGUAUUGACGCUGAGGCGCGAAAGCCAGGGGAGCAAACGGG